UGGGGAAUUUUGGACAAUGGGCGAAAGCCUGAUCCAGCAAUGCCGCGUGUGUGAAGAAGGCCUUCGGGUUGUAAAGCACUUUUGUCCGGAAAGAAAUCCUUGGCUCUAAUACAGUCGGGGGAUGACGGUACCGGAAGAAUAAGCACCGGCUAACUACGUGCCAGCAGCCGCGGUAAUACGUAGGGUGCAAGCGUUAAUCGGAAUUACUGGGCGUAAAGCGUGCGCAGGCGGUUUGCUAAGACCGAUGUGAAAUCCCCGGGCUCAACCUGGGAACUGCAUUGGUGACUGGCAGGCUAGAGUAUGGCAGAGGGGGGUAGAAUUCCACGUGUAGCAGUGAAAUGCGUAGAGAUGUGGAGGAAUACCGAUGGCGAAGGCAGCCCCCUGGGCCAAGUACUGACGCUCAUGCACGAAAGCGUGGGGAGCAAACAGGAUUAGAUACCCUGGUAGUCCACGCCCUAAAACGAUGUCAACUAGUUGUUGGGGGAUCCAUUUCCUUAGUAACGUAGCUAACGCGUGAAGUUGACCGCCUGGGGAGUACGGUCGCAAGAUUAAAACUCAAAUGAAUUGAC
rnacentral:rRNA from 1 species